GCGUCGGUAGUGCAGCGGUUUAGCACUCGCUCCCGGAAUGAGAGAGAUCUGGGUUUGAAUCCCAGCUGACGCG